rnacentral:lncRNA from 1 species
CAGCAUAUGGAGGUUCCCAGGCUAGGGGUCCAAUUGGAACUACAGUUGCUGGCCUAAACCACAGCCACAGCAACACAGGAUCCGAGCCACGUCUGUGACCUACACCAUAGCUCAUGGCAACGCCAGAUCCUUAACCCACUGAGCAAGGCCAGGGAUCGAACUCUCAACAUCAUAGUCCCUAGUCGGAUUCGUUUCUGUUGGGCCAUGACGGGAACUCCUCAAUUUUUGAAUUGACUUUUUUUUUCUAAAUACACAUCCAGGAAAUCAAAUGAAACUUCGAAAUUGAUUAUUUUCUUUUUUUUAAUUUUUCAGAAUUGUUUUUUUCAGGGCUGCAUCUGUGGCAUAUGGAAAUUCCCAGGCUAGGGGUCAAAUUAAACCUGCAGCUGCCGGUCUAUACCACAGCCACAGCAACAGGAUCUGAGAUGCGUCUGAGAUCUUGACUGCAGCUUGAUGCAAUGCCGACUCCUUAACCCACUGAGCAAGGCCAGGGAUUGAAACUGCAUCCACACAGACACUGUGUAGGGUUCUUAACCUGCUGAGCUACAAUGAGAACUCCCAAAAUUUAUUAUUUCCUUAUAAGAAACAAAAAUAUUGUCAGUUUUAAAUGCUGACUAACUACCCAUAUGCUUUCUAAUCAUAGUUACUGAUAAAUUACAUUGUAAAUAAUUAGUUAAAGAAAAUAACAUAAGAAACGUCAGUUGCUAGGUGAAUUUUUCCUCAGAAUAGGAGCUGGAUUAUAACAACAUUGCUUCUUGUUGAGUACGUAUCAUGCACUAGGAGCCCUGCUAGAUAUUUUUCAUAAUUAUUUCAUUUAAUCUUCAAAACAACCCUGGAAGUUAAUUAUUCUCAUUUUAAGAUGAGGUCAUUGAGAACCGGCAAUGUUGGACAACUUGCCAAACAUCCUAAAGUAAUAAGCACUGAGAUUCUAAAUCAAUUCAACCUUCACAACUCACAGUCCUUCCCAAUACACCAGCUUUGUGAGGUUUAGUUCAUUGUGAUUUGAAACAAACUAGCUCUAGAUUAGGUCAAUGGACUUUAAAAAAAUAUUACUCCAUUCACAACAAAGCGUCAUCACCAAGUUGUAACUUAGAUGAAGAAAAAUACGGAACAUUGAAAGAGAGAACUGGUCAAUUUUUGAGUGUGCUGGGGAUUAAUGAAAAAAUACAUGCAUCAAAAGCUAAACAAACAAAUAACGACAAAAAUUUCCCCCUCUUGUAUUAGAAGUUAAUGACUGAGAUACAUACAAAAUGAUGGACCAUUUCUGAGUGCAUAUGGAAGUUCCCAGGCUAGGGGUUUGAAUCAGAGCUACACCUGCUGGUCUAUACCACAGCCACAGCAACUCGGGACCCAAGCCAUGUCUGUAACCUGCACCACAGCACAUGGGAUCCACAACCUACUUAGCAAGACCAGGGAUCAAACCCGCAUCCUCAUGGAUACUAGUCAGAUUCAUUUGUACUGCACCUCAACAGGAACUCCCGAGGCUCAGUGUUUUAAGAACCCAACAUAAUGUCAGUGAGGAUGAGAGUUUGAUCCCUGGCCUCACUCAGUGGGUUAAGGAUCCAGUGUUGCUGCAAGCUGUGGCAGAAAUCAGAGAUGUGGCUCAGAUCCUGUGUUUUGUGGCUGUGGUAUAGGCUGGCAGCUCGAUUCCACGACUGGCCCUGAAAUUCCCAUAUGCUGCAGGUAUGGCCAUAAAAAGAAAAGAAAAGAAAAAAAGAGAGAGAGAGAGAGAUGCCGCUGAGGCUUCCUUUCUGCUUUUGGGAUAUCAAGAUGUCCUUUUUUUAUGCACACACACAACCCAGAAUGGCAUUCCCUUUAAUUUUUUAACUUUUCCUUCUUUUAAAACUCAACAUGAUGAUGACUAAAACAGAGGUUAAUAAUACACUUCAGGUCAAGCUUUUUUUUUUUUGUGUGUGUGUGUACAAAAACAUUGAGAUAACUAAGGGGAUGCGUGCAUGUUUCAGUUAUCUGCAUUUUUUCUCAGUUUCUCAUUUUAUCCUGCAAAAAGAGGGAGACAGAAGACAUACAGACAUUUGCAGAACCUCUGGGGGUACUGAUCUCAUCUCUUCUUUAUUUCUUAGGGAAAUGUUGGCUUUGGAAGUGGCUCCCUUUUCAGCAUUAAUUGCUUACUUAUAAUGUGCCAGUGAGUCUUCUCUUACACUUAAUAUGGAAAAUGAUACAAAAUAAGCACUGUGCAAAAUAUUUGGCAAAUAAAGUAAAGAAGCAAUUUUGUUGUUGUUGUUUUCCAGUUUUCCAGACAAGAACUGAAUGAAAUCACAUUUUUACACUAAUAGUCAUUAAUGGGGCUUCAGGGUGAAUAAAGAUUCAGGAAAGUAAUAUUCACAAAUAAGUCUAUUGGAUUCUCCAUUCAUCUAAGAAAACUAUUAAAUACUUGUUUGGAUUUAUAAAUAGCAUUCUUCCAUAGAAGUUUUUAACUUUUUAAACUUUGAACAGACACAUAUGCAAUAAAAAUUAAAAACCACAGUCUUUAAACAUAGUUGUGAAAAUAUAUUUCCUGAUAGAUUCUAGAUAGAUAUCAGUGAGUAGAAAAUAUGGAACAUAUCUACCUAAAUAAAAACGAACUUGGGGUAAAUAUAAAAAUCAGAAAGAAAAAUCACUGAAAGUUAUGAGAGACAUGCUUUACUACCAACAAGUGUGUCAAACUUGAGUGUUUUAAUUGAUGACACCUCUAUUAAAAAUGGAGUAUGGAUGAUGAUAUUAUAAAAAAAAAAGACCACUGAGGUCUUCAGGAGCAGUGGAAGAAUACAAUAUAUGAAAAAAAGAAAGUGACCAUCCUCUUCUACAUUGCUCUGACCAGUAUAUUUUAUUCUCCCUCAUGAUAAGACAUUUAUGGGCAAACGAGAAUGCACUGAAGGCUAGCAACUAGUACGGUAUGGGAAACUACAUCACAUAAAGAAAAGCUGAAGGAACUGCACAUAGAGCUUGGAAAAGAGAAGACUCGGGAAAAUUCCAGGGAAAACAGAGAGCAACUUUUUCUAAGGGUUAAAAACAUCAUUAUAUGAAAAAAGAGCCACACUUGUUCUGUGUCUAAAAAACCAUCCAUACUAACCAGGUCUUUUUUGCUCACAAGUGGUAAAACAAAACAAAGACAGGGUACUUACGGGCCCACAUGCUUGAGAAACCCAAGGACAGAGCAAGCUUUGGGAACAGCACAUUCAGAGGUUCAGACAGUGUCACUGUGCUGUCACUGCUGAGCUUUCAUCUCUUUGUGUUUGGUUUCCUUCUCAGAAGGCUUUCUUUUCUCUGUGAUUUCACGAGAGCCAAAAGGGCCACUGGCAGUAUGAGAUGUACCAGAGCUUAAAAAUCACAGAGAAAAGAAAGCAACUCUAUCUCCCAUCUUCCAUCUGACAGUUAUCAUCCACAACCAUGACUGAGUCUGCUUGGCCCCCAAGAUGGUCACUCUUGGACUGAUGACCACAGACGGGGGGAUGCCUGCUGUGAGAGACUUACCCUGGGUCAUGUGCCUAUGCCUAACAGUGCAGAAUCAAUCUGAGUAGGACAGAGAACAAUAAGGAGCUACGCAGGCACCAAAGCAAACCAAACAAAGCCAAAAAAAAAAAAAAUUUGAAUUAAAAAAAUAAGUAAAGUUGUGCAGCAUGGCUACUUGGAAAGGUAAUGAAUUUCUCAUCACUGAAUGUGUUUAAGCAGAAGUUUAAUAAGAGCUUGUCAGUGAUAAAAGGCCACUGUGCCUCUGGUCAACGAUGGGACUCUGAGCAAGUCACCCUUCAUUUCCUCCUUCAGUCAUAGAUAAUCAUUGAGCACUUACAACGUGGAAGGCCACGGAGAUUCAAGGGCACAAAAGACAGGUGAGGUCCCUGCCCUAGACGAGCUUAUAACCAACAGUCUCUAAUCUGUAAGAGAGAUUAUAUUUGCCACACAACAUGAGUAUGAUUGAAAGAAAAGAUGUAUGUGGGAAUUGACAAUUAUAAAACAAUAUGCAAAUGAAAAAUAUUAAAAGAGCAUAAGUAGAGUAACUAAGAUUUGCAUUGGGAAAGGUGAAAAGAUUUAAAAGCAAACUUUAUCUCUAAAGGAAUUUUAUCUAUACAUACUACAAGCAUCCUUCUCAACUCUAUAGCACAGGGCCUAUGAUCUAAUCCCAAAAGAAUUAUUUCCCCCAGUAAAGAUCAGGGCAAAAAAAACCUCAGCCAGAAUUCAAAGCCAAAGAUUUAUGUUUGAGCCAUAGACACUGACACUGAGUUCCAAAGCAGCGUUGCCUGAGGGAUCCGUGAGCCAGCACAAAGGAGGGCAAUUUCUCAGAGUAGCUAGAAUGCCUCUCAGCACAGAGCUUCCUUGGACACCACUGGCACCGGCUUGCUAAGCUAAAGCUUAAAGGACAUGGAACAGUCUUGGGAAGGUAGGGGGCCCCAUUACCAGACACUUACAUUAAGGAGGGUGGGAGUAGCAAUACCUCGUCCAGCAAUAUGUCUCUAGUGCCAGGAACACUGCCAAGUACAUCUUGUAUGUGACAAUUUCCACGACUGGAGUACGCUUUGAUUCUAACUAUACAGCUUUUGGGAAGCUCUUUAUGUGAGUCAUGGCCAUUUCAUCUUUCUAAGCCUCAAUUUUCUAAUAUGAAAAACUAAAUAAAUUGACAGGAUAAGCAAUGAGAUCCUGCUAUAUAGCACAGGGAACUAUAUUCAGUCACUUGUGAUGGAACAUGAUGGACAAUAAUGUAAGAAAAAGAAUAUAUAUAUAUGACUGGGUCGCUUUGCUGUACAGUAGAAAUUGACAGAACACUGUAAAUCAACUCUAAUGGAGAAAAUAAAAAUCAUAAAAUAAAAAAA